rnacentral:lncRNA from 1 species
CACACAAAGAACAAAAUCCAACCAAGAGCUACGGGGGCUGUGCUGAUGCCGACACAUCAAGUCUAUGAUUUGGAGGAGAAAGGAGCUCUGCCCAAAUUUCAGCUGUCACAGAAUGAGUGAUCCUCAUAGUAUAAUGGAAAUGCAUCAUCUCAGUUUCCCCAUGGCCUGAAUGUCCAUACAAAAUGAG